GGGAUGUAGCUCAGUGGUAGAGCACUUGACUUGCCUAGUAUGUGUGGGGCUGGGGUUCAAUCCCCUAUUCCA
rnacentral:tRNA from 1 species